GUCUUGGUGGUAAAAUGGUAAACACGUGAGAUUCAAAAUAUUGUGCUAAAGAAUAUGGAGGUUUGAAUCCUCUUCAAGGCA